rnacentral:tRNA from 1 species
GCGGGAAUAGCUCAGCUGGUAGAGCAUCACGUUGCCAACGUGAGGGGCGCGAGUUCGAGUCUCGUUUCCCGCUCCA